rnacentral:rRNA from 1 species
UUCAGAAAGAAUAGGCCACCAUUGCGGUCAAACGAACCUGUGCUUGCUAUGGGAUUUUGUUCAGCUGCAAAAGCUUUACAUACUGGCCUCUAUGGAGCUGCAUCCAAUGGACGGGUUGAAAACUGCUGCUGAACUGACCGUGGGGUCGGCCGUUGACCGCCAAGGCAACUUCACCUUCUAAACCGGUUGAGCUGCCACCCUCGCCGGUCGUGAUAAGCCGUCUCGGCCGCUUCGUAUCACUUGACCCGGUGUAGCUGCAGUCUCACCUUGCUACUAUGAGCCGCCCCUUUCCGCCGCAUGCCCGUAGUGCUGCCUCUGCUGCGAAAUCGCCGGAUCACCUCUGCCACCAGUGAGUCGGCUUGCAACGACCUGGAUUCGCCGUCGCUGAGCUGCAACAGGUUUGACCCCGAGUCAUCGCCAUGACCCGCCUCUACGUCGCUGUCUCCUGCGGCCUCUCAGUGCUCUGAGCCGCCGUACCUCGGGUCGCAACCCGCCUCUGCGUUGCCCUCCUCUGCCAUGGGCCUCCUCGGCCUCCAGUACUGCUGAGCCCGCCAUCCGAGCCUCCGCCACGGCCUCGCUUUCAUCGCUCAAAAUCGCCGCUGGUUUGUGGCUCAUCUGACUCCGACUCCGCCUCACCGCCGCAUGUAUGCCGGCGCCCUUUUGAGUCGCCUCCGAUGUCGCUCCGCAUCGCUGCAGGCUCCGACCACCUUCUCCUUGAGCCGCCGCAGCCAAUUAUCACCGCUGCAGCCUUGCCUUGUCAGGCUCACCUUUGAGUAGCCAUCGCAGGGCCGUCGGGCGCCGUUCCUCUGCCGUCCGCUUCAAGUCGCCGGUCGCCUUGCCUCUCCUCAUCGGAAGGUUUUUGUUGCUCUGAGCCGCCGAUCUCGCCACUGCUGCCGAAAUCCGGUCACGCCUCCGUCUGUGAGCCGCCUCGUAUUUGAGUUGACAUCUUGUUUCAACCUGCGACCGACCUCGUGUUUCGUGAGCCUGCGCCUUCGCUACUCUGCGCUGGCUCCUGCCUCCGCACGUAUGACCCGCUUAGCGCCGGCUCUCGCACGCCCAGCCGGCUUGUCGCCCUGCACCAGCCUGCUGCCUCUGCUCCACCCCGCCCGUCGCCGGGUCUCCACACCAGCUGCCCGCCUGUGUAGAUGCCAAUGAGGAGAGCGCUGCCCGUGUGGUUGGUGUUAAAGCCACAGAUGAAGGCAUGCAAGAGGAUACAUUUGACCUGUCUGUCGCUGAUAAUCAGGAAAAACGAGAUCUCUUUAGCUGAAUGACCAUCCUUCGCAAAAUUUCGGUUUAAUGCCGACCGUCUGUUGUUCGCCUAGCUGAUAUUCCAGUACUGAAUCAUUCCAGAGGCAACCUUCAGAAAAGCGUCCAAGCAGAGGAAAAAAUACAGGAGGGCACCUGUUUGCAUAAACAGCAGUGGUAGUGGUGGUCCACUUCCUUAGAGUUGAGCUCAAAAGCAACAGGAUUAACAAGCUAAUAGAGGGAUAUGCAAAGAUUUGAUCCUGAGUUUGGAUUUAAUGGAGGCACGUACACCAUUCAAACUUCCACAUGAAGACUGCUGCUGGAUUCGUUAUGAAAAAGACAAAGGAAGACCGUGUGGUUACUAGUGCCACAUCAGAACAGUCAAAAUGAGAAGUGCAUUUGUACGAGCUGUGUUCUUUGUCUGAUUUUGUCCAGCAUUAUCAGCAUCAACAUCUGCGUUCAUCUGACAAGACAUAUAAGAUGAUAUCCAUCUAAGUCUAUUUUUUUUAGAACGAAGGCUCAAGAAAGAGCCCGGCUUUGAAUUAACAAAGCCAUCAACCGGCCAGGAUUACAUCAACCGCCAACUUACAAAGACAGAACAAAGAAACAGCUAAAAGGAUACAUAGUGCUGUGCAAGCAGCUAAUAGGCUUCCUGCCAUCUACAAGCAAAGAUGAAAAAAACUGAAGAACAAGGCCAGCUUGAAGACAAUGGAGCCCUCCACUGAGUGUAAUCCAUCCCGCCGAGACACCAGCAGGCCUUGCGGAGAUCCAACUAGCAUGUAAGGGGACGCUGACAGCUCCAUAGACUCCGACCGAAACCGUUGACAACAUCCUACAUCUCCGAAGGGGCUCCCUAGCCCCUCGCCUGGCAUGAGGCGCUGAUCCGUCGGACGAUGCAAACACUCUCCCAAGAGCAAAGAUGUACAACCGUCACCAUUGCCGCCCGGAAAGCCUGACCAGGGCACCACCAACUCGCGUCGCCGAGCUCCACAAAGGCAAACAUGGCACUGGGGGGGGGGGACCAACACUCAAGGAGAAGCAAAAUGCACGAUGAGGCUGCUGAUGACGGAGCAAACAAUGGUGGGAAGCCACUGAACUUGGAGAAGAACCUCCAAGACCACCAACUCCAACCAUGUCACCGUCGUCCGCCCACCAACCAGAUCGAACUUGCCACCGCCCCAUGCUCAACCGAAGGCGGCACCUCCAUGAAGGUGACGGUGCCGCGAGCGUAGCUGCCGCCCAAUCCAGAGGGAUUUGGGUUUUCACCCCGGUGCACGGGCAGGGGAGAGAGGCAGAAGGGGGAAAGGGGUCACCUUGACGGCGCCUACAGGUAGGAGACGGCGCCCUCAGGCGUCGCCGUCGUCGUGGCCGGCAUAGCCAGCCGUGGAUUUCUCCAGGCCCCCAUCUCCCCCACCCCUACCACAAACGCGACCCCGGCGACCAGGGUCAGCCAGAAACCAGAUCUGACAGGGGCCGAAAGGAUUGGGGGCGGAGGCGUCAGAUCCGGGGCGGGCGCCCCCGCGGCCACCGCGCCCCAUAGUCACCACCCGCUGCCGCCUUGCCACCCGCGUGUCCAAGGGGGAUGGCCAGCACCAGCGAUGCCGCAAGCUGAAGACGAAGACGCACCACCGCCCGAGGCCGCCGCCCCGGCUUCAGAGCCCCUGCGCGAAAUAGGCGGACAGAUCCUCGCCACCACCCUCCCCGGCGGACGCGCAGCUUUCCGGGGACCCCCUCCGGUGGUGGCGAGGGAGAGGAGAAGGGGGGAGGAGGGCCGGCGGCGGCUAGGGUUAGCGCCGCCCGAGUCGCCCCUACGGGAGCGACGCGGGGGCCCGGGAGGUCUAAGUCUAUUUUAUUAGCACAUAUUGUUUCUUCCAAGAACAAUUACUCUUGUCCGCAAUAUAUUUUGUGCAUGACAGUGAUUCAUUAUAAAGAUGGUGACAUGCUGUGCCUAUGGAGUAUGCGUUAGCAUCAUCAUGCACCGGCAUCCAUGCCCGCUUGUUGGUGAAUGGGUGUGCGCAAGCUGCCGUCCGUGCAGCUCGAUUUACAUCAACACGAUGCAACUGACUCGUCCGUCCAUGCGGCUUGCCGCGCCUGUGAUUGACUAGCCCGUCCGCACCGGCUUACAACACCACGGCCGGUUCAUCUGUCCGUGCCUGCGAUUGACUCGCCCGUCCACAUCAGUUUAAAUGCCGCGGCCGACCCAUCUGGCGCUAGACUCGCCCGUGAAUUGAUUUAAUCUUCACCAAAGUGAUGAUCAACUCCGCGACGGAUAAUUUCCGGCCUAACAUAUCAGGUGAAAUUCAUCGAGUAUAUUUCUAUUUACAUAUUAAUUUCUUUAAAAAAAAGAGAAAGGAAUUAUUCUGGCUUGCAAGUUCUCCAAUGCAGGACAAGUUGUCUGCUACAAAAGAGAUUAUUAUAUCACUGAGUUGUUGAAUGACUCAUACCGGAUUAUAUCGUGGUCAACUAUGGAGAAUCUUAAGCCAACUCAUUGAGUCGUCUUAAAGACUCGGGGGCUACAUGGACAUAGCUCAAUAAAUGUUGACAGUUUAAAGGCCGUCAGGAAAAAUUCCGGCUCAAGAAGAAUUUAUCUCUCGCAAAGCUCGAGUUCUCAGGAAAAAUUAAAGGGACCAAAGAGAGUAUGUUGCAAAGCACAACUCAAACAUAGGUACCCUGCUUCAAAUGACCAUUGGGGGCUGAUCGUAUUCGAAUCUAGCUUAACCCCUUUGGCACAGCUUCCUCAUCGUAUUCGAAUCAUAGAUGUUCAAACCUCUUGAUUAUUUGGGGGCUGGAUCGUAUUCGAAUCAUAGCUUAACCCCUUUUGGCCCGACCCUGAUUGUAUUCAAAUCAGAGUCGUUAAAUAUUUAGACCACCGGGGGCUGAUCGUAUUCGAAUCUAGCUUAACUCCUUUGGCACAGCUUCCUGAUCGUAUUCGAAUCAUAGCUGUUCAAACAACUUGAUCAUUUGGGGGCUGGAUCAUAUUCGAAUCAUAGCUUAACCCCUUUUGGUCCGACUCUGAUCGUAUUCAAAUCAGAGUCGUUAAAAAAGCUUCAAGGUCACUUGGGGGCUUCCUGUUCAAACAUAGGUGUCUUCACCAAAGAGAACAUAGCUGUUGGUAUCCUCUUGAUUGGCGCAAUGCCAAAAACCACUUGGGGCCUGCCUGUUCAAACAUAGGUCUAUUCACCAAAGAGAACAUAGUUGUUAACCCUUUUGGUCCGGCUUACUGAUCGUAUUCGAAUCAGAAGCCUCGUGUUUUUUCUCUCCUUGUUGAUUUAAGUUUUUUGAAACAGUCUUUCGGGUUUCUCUUGAUACUUUUUUGCUUAUGUCUGAAGCAUAUAUGUGGUUUCGAUUAACCCGGUCUGGCUUUCGACGAUAAGUCGCCAGCAUAUGACAAUAUUAAAUACUUGAAGUAUGGGCUUCUAAGAUUUGGGUUAUCAUCCUUACUGCAUUGGUGUCAUAAGCCGGCCAUACGAUUCAAUAUCACAGGAACCGGUUUUCAAACCGGAUUAUAUUAUUCAAAUCUUUAAUAGCCAACAUGGCUGAAUUUUUAUUAUGGUUAUCAAUAACCAAUAUUAUGAUGGAGGUCUUCAAAGUCGCUUCAGCGCAAUGGCUAUUAUGUAUCAAUGGAUAUGAUUUAUUUUUACAAUGGAGGGAAUAGUCCCGAGUCGCCGCAGGCUUACGACCCGGCACUUGGGGGCUACAUUAUUCAAAUUGAGAUUACAUCAAAUAUGCAAGUCCCAUGUCACUGCCAGCAUGCACCAUGGCACUUGGGGGCUAAUGUAAAGUCAUUUUUUGAUCAACUUAUUGAAGACCCUACUCAUCCCAUUGUAAUGAGCCGGUCCUUGGGGGCUACCAAUUGCUCCUGUCAAAAAUUCAAGGUACACAAGCCUCAACCCAUUAUAUUGAAAGAUCCACUACUCAGUAGGUAGAGUACAAAGCUCUUAACCUUAUGGACGUGGGUUCAAGCCCCAUGGUGGAGAUUACAUCAUAUGAUGUUAUUAUCAAUGAAUUAUAUACAAAGUCCCAGCUCAGUAUUAUCUUACUGAGCUGGCCCUUGGGGGCUACACGUUGCUGCUCAAGUCUACAUGAUCAUAUUUACAAAGUCCAUGCUCAUUAUUUCAUAAUGACCCGACACUUGGGGGCUACAAGUGAUAUGAAUAUAAUGGAGGUACAUUUUCAAGUUUGAUGUUAGCGACAAUUAUAGCCCAGUGCUAUCAAUAUUUACAAACCGGAUAUUUUGGCAAUGAUAAAUCGGCAAGUUCUACAUCUUCAAGCUGGCUGAAAAUCAGAUGAGUAUUUCAUGACCAAUGUUUUUGAUUAUGAAGCUGGCUUAUUGACCCGGAUUUUCUAGAAGAAGGAAAUACCAAGGAGUUAAGGAUGAUCAGGUGCCGGCUUACAAGAAUUCUUAACCCAGAGCAUAAUCUGUCAAAAUUGUUCUUGUGUUUGUUUUACAGGAUCAGUUUAACAUGGAUAAAUCCAAAUUAAACCAGGGGCUAAUGUCGGGGAUAUACCCCACGACGUGACCCGGCCGGAGAUAUGACCCGGCUGAGAUUUGAUGUUUCAUUGGUGACCCGACAGACUAUAAGCCGGCGGGAACAGUUAAGCAGGUUAAGCCGGCGGGAACAGUUAAGCAGGUUAAGACGGUGGGAACAAUUAAGCAGGUUAAGCCGACAGACACAGUUAAGCAUUGUAAGCCGGCGGACAUAGUUAAGCAUUGUAAGCCGGCAGAGAGUUAAGCCAGACAGUUAAGCCAGAUUGUAAGCCGGAUUGUAAGCCGGCUUACGUUAAGAAGCCCAAGACGUUAAGAAGCCCAAGACGUUAAGAAGCCCAUGGUGAGAAGCCCAUGGUAAGACGUCAAAAUAGGUUAAGUCCUAAUCCGAGUUUGACUCUACAUGUAACCCGCCCCUUCAACUUAUAUAAGGAGGGGCAGGGCACCCCAAGAGGGGAGAGCAAGAAAAUAAUCGUUAAGGCUAGACACAACUAGAGGAGAGCCGGAUUUACGACGUCUCCCUCAUGAGCAUAAUGAGACCUAGCCACAAACAACAUGUAGGGCUAUUACCAGAUGAUGUUUCCCGGGGCCCGAAGCUGUCUAAAUCCUUGUCUUGUGUGUUGCGUCUCUCAUCCCGAUCAACCCCUUUCAAGCUACCACAUAGAUGCGUUGGCCUCACGACUAAGUCCUCACACUAGGACAUCUGCCGUGACCUUUCCAAGACAAGGAUGAAACAAUCUCGUGUGACCUGGUAAGAAGAAAACAAAGACACAUCGGCAUACACAUGAAUAUUGGCCCCAGUGUUAACCCACCAAUCGGUGGACUGACAAACUGAAAGUACGGUAAACAGAUUACCAUACCUUGUUGCCGCAUCAUUGUUGCUCAGAGUCACAUUGACAGACUUUGCGUCCUGUCCUGACUUCUUAUACUUGUUUGGGCACUUGUUUGCCCAAUGUUCCUCUGAACCACAAGUGAAGCAGCCAUCUCUCUUCUUAUCUUUCUUCUUACCCUUCUUCUUGAAGGUAGUAUUUUGCUGGAAAGAGUUCUUUCCCUUGAACUUGUGGAAGUUCUUCUGCACCACAUUGGCGCUAGAAGAACCCUCUGCCCCUUUCACGUGUGAGUCAUUUGCUCUCGAGUUCCGCUCAACACUUAGAUGACUGAUGACAUCCUCAAUAGAGAAUUCACGUCUCAAGUGCUUGAGAGAAGUAGCAAAGUUCCUCCAUCCAGCAGGGAGUUUUGCAAUAAUGCAACCCGCGACAAAGUUGUCCGAUAACUCACACUUUAGGAGCUCCAGCUCCUUAGCGAUGCAUUGUAUCUCAUGGGCCUGGUCCAAUACAAAACGGUUAUCAACCAUUUUGUAAUCAUGGAGCUGCUCCAUAGCAUACAACUCGCUUCCAACAUCGGUUGCGCCGAACUUAGCUUUGAGCGCAUCCCACAAAUUCUUGGCAACACACAUAUGGAGAUAUGCGUCGACUAGCUUGUCUCCGAUCAUAGUAAGAACGGCUCCAACAAAGAUGGUGGUUGCCUCCCUAAACGCAUUCUCCUGUUUAGGAGCAAUCGUUACCGUGGGAGAAACACCACCAACCCAGAACACGUUCAUUGCUGUGAGCCACAAAGUAGUCCUCGUCUGUCAAAGUAAACUUUUCCGGUUUCAGAGUAGCGGCGAAGCCAUGAGUCGAAAAGUGCCUAAAAUAAGGUUUUUGGAUUGUUGGAAAUGUUAGCACUUUUCUGACUAAUCUAAUCCAUGAGUAAAUAGUAAGGAUGGUAAAUACAGUAUGCAUCUCAUACCGAUACCUAAGCAUGUGAGCACGUACAGUACAUACAACUGAAACAUCUAUGAACAACAUAUAUACGGCUAGCACAUGAACGGGCAAAUAGGGGAUGAACGAGUCAUACCCUCCGGUUGGCCAGGCCAACGCGGCGGCGGCAGCGGCAGCCUCGGCAUGGGCCGAGGCCUUCUUCUUGGCGGCGGCAUCGUCAGCCAUGGGGUCGAUGCAUGGGAAGUAGUGGAAGCAGAGGCGGACGGAGACGGGGACGGAUCGGGAGCAGUCGCGUCGAGACGCUCCCCAAAACCCUUAUUGCCGUUCUCCUGGGCAGGAUCUCGAACAACAGGGUUCCGGAGGCACCUGCUCUCCCGACCAACCGUGCACGCGGUCGUUGGGAUGGGAUUGCUGGAAGCAGCACAGAGAGAGGAACAGUAGAUGACGGCUAGGGUUGUACGAGAGGGAGUGAGUGAACUGAGUUAGGGUUUACUCCACUCGCCAACCCCUUCUUAUAUAGACCAUUAGGUAGAAGGGCCUGGGCCAGGCCCACGACCGAGUCCGCGAACAGCCCACGGUCCAACGUCUUGGACAGUGGCGCUUCCGUAAGUGACUCGUUAAUUAAUUAACCAUUCCCGAGCGGCAAAAAUAAGCUUCGGCUCGGCUCAUUGCGGCGCGCGCACGCGUGCACGCGUGUCGUGACGAGGCGAGGCGAGGCGUGGCGAGUCGGGCGGGCGGCGACGGAGGAGGAGCGCGCAUGUACAUCUCCUAUUCCCAAGCUCCCAAUAGCAAGUUGUAGAGCAACCCUUAUAAAGAGGUCUCACUCUUCUUACUGUAGCAGUAUGUGACUAAGCUUUCCACACUUCCCACCACUUGUCGUACACAUGCAUGGCCUUAGAGAUUAACUAGGGAUUAUUUUCUUAUAUGGGCCUAAGCCCAUCCAUUUAGAUAUAUUAAAACUGAGCACUUUUCCAGCCCUCUCAAGGAAUCAGCGCUCUGAGCCGUCGGAUCGCCAGUUUGAAGCAUUUUUUGCCGUUGGAUAAGCUGUGAAUCGCUCCUAAUCGGGUACUCAUCGCUAAUAACAAUCGCUAACCAUCACGGGCCGCUGCUCCGGUCACUUUUUUGGGCGUUCCUGAUAAAUUGAGCCUAAUGGGCCUCUAGCAACCUCCUUACAGACCAACACACAGUGAAUCGACGCGGUGCGUAGAAAAACCUACGGAGUAGGCACGACGAUGCGGGUCUCCUGUUCCCUAGGUAUGCCGCCGCCGCCGCCGAUCUCCUCUUCCAUCUGGGCCGCUGCUACUCUUGCAGCCGUCGGUUCCACUCAUCCGCAAACCCCGUCCCUCCCUCACCUCUUAUGACCGAGGGUGAAUCGUUGGUGUGCUGCCAGCUUGAGCGAGAUGCCGUCGAUGCGCAAGGAAGAUGCGAAGGGGCAGUACUACACUCGCAACCCUAUUGAGGUGGCGGUGGCGGACGCCCCUUCACGAAGACGUCCUUGAAGGUAAUGGGCAGGCGAUGACAACGGCGUGGUGAAGAACUCUUGCGUCCUGAUUCCAGUUCGAUGUCCCGGCUAUCGAUGCAUUUGAGUAUUUGACAGCCGGCCGCAGGGAGAAGGUCAAGGCUAAGCAACCAAGCAGUAGAAUUAUCCCUCCGGUUCUAUCAAUUUUUGCAGUCGUUGUAUUCGCGUUGUGUUCAUUGGCCGGUGAAAGAUUCAGUUUCGCAUAUGGGGAUUCUAAUGUGGAUAUUUGAUUUUCAGUUCAAGUAAUUGGGUUCCUGGUUUUAUUGCCAUUUAUAUCUGUGCAUACAUCCAAUUUCUAAGCAGCAGUGGUACACAGUCAAGUCGACCAGAAGGCUUCGAUUUUCUGCUCGUCGGCGUUAGUCUGUAGUGUACUCAUCUGCCUUUUUUUCCCUGCCCCCUGUCUCCUCUAUGGCUUUCUGAAUCCUGCUGGCAUGUAGAUGGCUUAUUUGGUAUUCUGGAAGAUGUCUCUUGAUUCAUAAACUCCAGAUGAUUAUGAGCACGCACGCACACUUUGCCGCUGGUUGGUGUGGAUUUGUGAUGCAGGAGCCUCGUCUUCACAGAGGCAGCAGGUGGGAGAAAGAUUGAUAAAGUGGUGGUGUCCGGUGGCUGGGAGGAUCACACGGAAAGGACGUUAUUUUCUGUACUGUUUACUCAUACAGAAGGGACUUUGCUGAUUUGUGCCUAUCAACUAUCCCUAUGCUUUGAAUUUAAGGAAUCAAUAUGGGCACGUAAUGUUGAGAAGAAGUGGAAGCGUCAAGAUUUACAAUUUUGAAUAUUCCUAAUAGUUGUAUAUAUAGUUUUAUAUUUUGCAAAAAAUACAUGUAGUUUGUAUACUUUCAUCUGUGUAUCAACACUAGCUAGAGCAGGUAAUGACUUUAGAUAGGAACUGGUCUCCUUGUACUUCAACAGUAAGUUUUUGUCUAUUGCAUUCUAUUUUAUGCUGCUGCAAGUUUUUCAGAGCUGCUGAUAUAUGUCGGUGCAUGACAUUAUAAGGC